rnacentral:rRNA from 2 species
CAUUGCGGCUCCCAUGGCAGCGGAUCACUCGGCUCGUGGGUCGAUGAAGACCGGGGUAAAACCCGAGACAGUUUGCGAAUUGCAGGACACAAACGAUCAUCGACAGGUUGAACGCAAAUGGCGGCUCCCGAUCUCGGUCGGCGAGCUCAGUACUCUCGAGGGUCG